UGACGGUCAUGUACCGNUGACGUUUUCUUCGGGACAGGAGGAGACAGGUGGUGCAUNGUUGUCGUCAGCUCGUGUCGUGAGAUGUUGGGUUAAGUCCCGCAACGAGCGCAACCCCUUAUCCUCUAGUAGCCAGCGGUUCGGGUGGGCACUCUGGAGGAGACUGCCAGGGAUAACCUGGAGGAAGGUGGGGAUGACGUCAAAUCAUCAUGCCCCUUAUGACUUGGGCUACACACGUGCUACAAUGGCGUAUAACAAAGGGAAGCGAACCCGGAGGGUGAGCAAAUCCCAAAAAUAGCGUCUCAGUUCGGAUUGUAGUCUGCAACUCGACUACAUGAAGCUGGAAUCGCUAGUAAUCGCGAAUCAGAAUGNCGCGGUGAAUACGU
rnacentral:rRNA from 1 species